rnacentral:rRNA from 1 species
AUACGGAGGGAGCAAGCGUUAUUCGGAAUCGCUGGGCGUAAAGGACGCGUAGGCGGGUUUGUAAGUCAGGUGUGAAAUCCUACAGCUCAACUGUAGAACUGCACUUGAAACUACAGACCUAGAGUAUGGAAGGGGCAGAUGGAAUUAGUGGUGUAGGGGUAAAAUCCGUAGAUAUCACUAGGAAUACCGAAAGCGAAGGCGAUCUGCUGGGACAUUACUGACGCUGAGGCGUGAAAGCGUGGGGAGCAAACAGGAUUAGAUACCCUAGUAGUCC